GAUGAACGCUGGCGGCGUGCCUAAUACAUGCAAGUCGAGCGAACAGACGAGGAGCUUGCUCCUCACACGUUAGCGGCGGACGGGUGAGUAACACGUGGAUAACCUACCUAUCAGACUGGUAUAACUUCGGGAAACCGGCGCUAAUACCGGAUAAUAUAUUGAACCGCAUGGUUCGAUAGUGAAAGACGGGUUUUCUGUCACUUCUAGGUGGAUCCGCGCCGCGUUAGCUGGUUUGUAAGGUAACGGCUUACCAAGGCAACGAUGCGUAGCCGACCUGAGAGGGGGAUCGGCCACACUGGAAGUGAGACGCGGUCCAGACUCCUACGGGAGGCAGCAGUAGGGAAUCUUCGGCAAUGGGCGAAAGCCUGACGGAGCAACGCGGAGUGAGUGAUGAAGGUGCUCGGAUCGUAAAGAUCUGUUAUGAGGGAAGAACCAAUGUGUAAGUAGAUAUGCACGUCUUGACGGUACCUAAACAGAAAGCCACGGCUAACUACGUG
rnacentral:rRNA from 1 species